CGGCCUCGCGUCGCCACGGCCGCCGCCACCACCCGGCUGAGUCACGGACCGCGCACACCCGGCGUCUGACUCCGCACGGGCAGCUCGGGCCUGGACCCCCGCGGCCCGGAAAGGGGCGGAAGCCCUACUUCCCCCCCCCGCCCGGGAAGUCCCUUGCAGCUAUGACAGAGGAACUGCGAGCAUUCCCCGCCCCCCGUAGGUCGGAUUCCCACCCCCAGCCCCGAAGUUCUCGGGGAGAACCCCCUCCGCAGCCUGGGUGGCUUCGCCUCCUCUGAACCCCCUGUGGAUAACGUUUCCCUUCCUUUCCACCCCCUCCCUCCUCUCCCGGCCGCCCAGUCUCCUAGGCGGCCCCCCGCCAGCCCCGGGCAAUGGCGGGAUCCCGUGUCCCCAUCCCUGGGCCCCUCCCCCGCUGCCCCCGAGCGGGACGUAGGGUGGGGGAGGGGAGAGUCUGGGGGUGGCGGCGAGGAGGCCGCGCCGUGCCCGCCACCCUGUGCCCGGCGGGUGGGGGCCGCGAGGACGGUGGGGUCACCCGGGCGGAGCCCGCGCCCUGACCAGCCUGCGGGGGUGUAUGGGGGUGUGGACCGCUGGCCUGGAAUACGUCCUUAAAAAUAAUGUCGCUGUAUGGAGAAGAACACUGGAACCUUUAAGUUCCCCGUUCCCUCGCUUGAUUCGGGCUCGGCUCAGCCCUGAGUGUAACUCCAAACAUACUUAUUAAGAAGCUGUUGCUUUAUUUUGAUUCGUUUACAUAAAUUUUCCACAUUGGGGGGGGAUGGUGGUGGGCUUGUGGAAUCCCUAAAAUAACUUUUAAUGGAGCGAAGCCUUCCAUUAUGGGAAGCGCCUAGACGCACAGAGGCGUCUGGAGGCCUAGGUUGCCGUCGCAGCCCUGCCACCAACUGGCUGAGCGACUGGGGCUCAGCGCUGCCCUCCCCGCCAGGAUCGGGAGGCCUCCCCCACCCCGAGAGGAGCGACUGGACGAGCUGUCCUCGGAUUAAGAGACUGGCUGGGUUUCCCCUUCUUCAAAAGCUCUGAUGCUAUAGAGACGCAAAAUGGAGGGAUGUGAAAGCUGAAGGCCUGUGGUGGCCAAGUGACUUUCCCAGGGUCACAUCUGGCAGAGCCUGGACCUCUCUCUGGCCUCCCGUGGCUUCAUCUACAUGGUGUUUCAUUUCUGUUCCCCAAGACGUCUGCGAUGAGUUAGGAAAAUGAAGCAUAUUAAGCCCAAAGAAAGAAGAAAGAAAGGAACAGAAAUGAAUAAAAUAGGAAAUAGACACCGAAAAUUAUCAAAGCAGAGAGCUGAUUGGAAGCAUGUGCCGUGGAGCCUGCCUGGGUGCUAACCACUUCCUGAACACAGUCAGAUCCAGCUGGGAUCAGGAGACACUUUCGCAAGCUUGACAGCCUUUUUAAAAUUGAUUUACCAUUUUUUUCCGGUAUAAAGGUAAUUAAUACAUGCUCAUCAUAGAACAUUAGGAUACAGAUGAAAAAGAACAUAAAAAUGCAUUACAGUCCCUACAAUCCAGAAAUAACCACUGGUUUGUUUUCUUCUGAUCAUUAUUUCUUGCAGAUAUACCAGUAUGUAUGUAUCCAAAAUCGAGAUUGCUCUGGACAGGUGGUUUUGAAUUUUGCUUAUCACGAGUAUUUUGCCAUGUUAUAUAGUCUUCAAAAGCAAGCUUUUUAAUGGUUGCAUGGUGUUUCCUAACACAGAUAUCUUUCCCCCCUCUGUUUCAUCCAUGUUGAGAACCUAACACAGAUAUUCUAUCAUCUAUUUACUCAUUCCACUAUUAUUUUGCCCUGGGUUGGUUGUUCACAGUUUUUCCAAAAGAAGACUUAAAUUGACACCCUUAGACAAACAUAUUUGUCCGCUUCAUAAUCCUUUGAUUAAGUCCUUUGAGUAGAUUACUGGGUUGGAGAUUAGGAACAUUUAUUUAAAUUGUGGUAAAAUGUAUAUAACAUAAAAUUUACCAUUUUAGCCAUUUUAAAAUGUAUAGUUUAGCAGCAUUAAGUUCAUUCAUAUUGUGGAGCAACCAUCACCACUUUCUAUCUCUAAAACUCUUUCACCUUCCAAAAUUGAAACUCUAUAUCCAUUAAACAAUAACUCCCCAGUCCCCUUUCUGGCCAGCCCCCAGGAACCUCUAUUCUACUUUUUGUUCUAUGAAUUUGACUACCUCAUAUAAGUGGAAUAAUACAGUAUUUGUCCUUUUGUG